GCCACGUGCAGCAUCUGUGGUUGUCGCGAGGAAGAUGAGUUCCAUGCGGCGGUAGCCUAUACCAAAAGCAGAGCACUUAGACAUGAAAUGAGGAAAGUAUGGGAGUUACCACCAGAAAGUUCUUUCAGAUACAUAGGCCCUGACUGGCUGCAACUGCUACUAGGCACAGUUUUGGAUGACAUGCGGGCGAAGGUGUUAACGGUACUAUGGACAUGAUGGUUUCUGCGUGAUGAUUGUGUACAUGGGAAGGGAAAGGAAUCA
rnacentral:rRNA from 1 species